rnacentral:lncRNA from 1 species
AUGAGGUGGUGCCUCCACCAGCACGGAUGGGCCCCUCGCCGGAGGGAGCUGAGAGCGCCCCGCCGUGCAGGCUGGGCGGGCAGGGCUGCACAGCGAAGUGGAGAGAAUGCCCCUGGCAGGCCAGGUGGGCAUCUCAGCAAAACACUGGGAGCUCAGCGUGUAGUCUGCAUUCAGACCAGGGCUGAGAAGGGAGUGGGGUUCAGGUCUUCCCACCUUUGCUCCUUCCCUCCACCCCCUCGUGGUGGAUGGGUGAACUUCCUCCCACGGGUCUGUUACCCAGCGCUAUCAGACGGGGCAGCCCACCUGGUGCCGGGCGGCGAGGACUCUCCUGGGACCAGCUAUGAAGCUGGGGUACAGGCAGGACUUUGCAGUGUAGAAGGCUGGGCUGCUUCCAAGGCCGCAUUCCUCUCUGCAGGAAUUGUUAGUCCAGGCAGUAGGGUGAGACAGCCUGGCCUUGACCAGGGAGUAGGGCUUCUACCCGUGGCCCCCAGCACAGCCCUUCUGUUACACCUCGGUUCCAGUCACCACUUCUACCUUGUCCCACCACCCCUGGUCUUCGUUAUCUCUUGCCUGGACAUCUGCAGGGGCUGCCUCCUCCCGGCUGGCCUCCCAGCCUGCAGUCUCUGUAGGACAUUUUUCUUCAAACCUGGGUCUAGACUCACCCCUUUUGUGGAACCUUCCCCAUGUUGCUCCUUCCCUCACUGGCUCAUCCAGUCCUGGGACGUUCUUGCCUUUUGUUCCUGGAAGGCAGCUGAUAGUGCGUAUUGGAGGCAGCACUCCCCAGCACUGUGGGCAGAGGGCACUUCUGUGCGACGAGUAUUUGCAGGAUCUACUUUUCUUUGCUUGAACCCUUUUGCCAACACAGUGGUGCCUUGCCCAGAGUGUGGCUUUCAGAGCCAGUGCUGGGUCAAACGUGCCAAAGGCUGCUCAGCAUCAAGCAGCUGGGCCUCAGCGCUGGGCUCUGUGCCUCCACCAGUGGAGCUGGUUGGUCCCCGCCACUGCUGUCAGUCAUCUCUCCCAUGCCUGUCACCACCACUGCUUAUCUCCACGCCUGCACCGGGAGGCCCUUCAUGCAGCUGCUCCUCCUGCCCUCCCCACAGCGCUGCUUUCUGGGGGCCGCCUGGGGUCCCCCGGCAUGCCAGUGGGAAGCUUGGAGACAGCCUCGCU